rnacentral:lncRNA from 1 species
GUUUGCUUCCAGAUAGUUGGUUAUCUGUCCACCCCACAAUCCUCUCCACCACUGUCUCAGACCUCAGGGUGUCUGGCUGGAAUCCUGCAUCCCAUAUCCCUGGCCUGAGCGAGAAGGUUUCGAUUUCUCAAAAAACUAUUUAGAUGGCAUUUGACUCUUUAUGGCUGCCUUCCCAACCUCAAGAAAGAGAGCCAACGGACUGUUGGCUGUCAGUCAAUAGGACUUUGUCUUUUUAAUAAGGGUAAAUUCAGGCAGGUUUGGCCAAGGAAUCAACUGGAACAUCAGAGACUCUGCUACACCAAAAGUUGCUCCUCCCUCGGCUGUAAAUGUGGACAAGGUCUCAAUGGGAGACUGCAGAGUGGAAAGAGACCUCCAGAACAACGAACCCCAACAGGAUGCAAAAUGCAGUGUAUACUAUGAUUACAACUCUGCUGAAAUAUAUCUGCCGAUGGAC